GACGAACGCUGGCGGCGUGCUUAACACAUGCAAGUCGAACGGAAAGGCCCUGCUUUUGUGGGGUGCUCGAGUGGCGAACGGGUGAGUAACACGUGAGUAACCUGCCCUUGACUUUGGGAUAACUUCAGGAAACUGGGGCUAAUACCGGAUAGGAGCUCCUGCUGCAUGGUGGGGGUUGGAAAGUUUCUGCGGUUGGGGAUGGACUCGCGGCUUAUCAGCUUGUUGGUGGGGUAGUGGCUUACCAAGGCUUUGACGGGUAGCCGGCCUGAGAGGGUGACCGGCCACAUUGGGACUGAGAUACGGCCCAGACUCCUACGGGAGGCAGCAGUGGGGAAUAUUGCACAAUGGGCGGAAGCCUGAUGCAACAACGCCGCGUGCGGGAUGACGGCCUUCGGGUUGUAAACCGCUUUCGCCUGUGACGAAGCGUGAGUGACGGUAAUGGGUAAAGAAGCACCGGCUAACUACGUG
rnacentral:rRNA from 1 species